UCACACAGGGACUUAGUAAAAACGUACUUUAUAGAAAACCAUCUGCAAAACUAAAAUAAAAAUAAGAAUGCACAUUUUAUACACAUAUUAGAUAAACUGCUGGAAAUCUUAGGAAUUAUUUUAAUGAAGGUGAUUGUAAAACAUGAAGCGCCUCGACUUUAUCAAAUCUGACACCAGACCAUGACUUCAGAAGUGUUAAUGUUGAAACGUGGAUGCAAAAGUGUCUAUUAACCACCAAUAGGUGGUCAGUUAGGAGUUUAAGAAACUCAGCCAGAGUUGGAUGAAGUCAGAAGAUGUAAAAGAUAUUUGGUAAAGGCAAUGUGAAGCCUCAUAGAAACCAAGGACAGGAAAAUGUUGGAAAAGAGACUCAAAUUUCUAUGGACUCACUCUCUCCCUCACUCCUCUCUUUUCUCUGUACACUUGCUUCAUUUCUCUUUUCCUUUCUACACAUUGGCCUCUGUUUUCUUGGUAGGAAACAUGGCAGCCAAAAGCCCUAAGCUUUACAUAUAACACAGUACAGGAAUCUAAAAAGAUCAAAUUAUCUUAGUUCCAAUAACAGAAUUUCCAAGCACCAACUCAGUGGUAUGAUAAAGAAUAUACCUGGGCCUUGUCCCUAGUUCCUGGCACAGAACUUUAAAAACCAUUGGAAUUUCCUGAAUAAUAAUUGUCUUUGUUAUGUUAAUGAAGCGGUCCCUGGUGAGCAUUGAAGAUAGCUCCAGGACAAUGAAGACUGGUCACCAGAAAGACCUGGUAUGUGACUAGACAGUUGGAACCUUUCAGGAGAGGAUGGGUGCUGGAGAUAGAGUCAAACACAUGGCCAAAGAUUUCACCAAUCAUACCACUUAAUGAAACCCCAAUAAAAACUCAACACCAGGGCUCUUCCUGGUUGGUGAAUACAGAGAUGUGUCAGGAGAGUGAGGUGCCCUGAUUCCGUGGGGAAGCGUGGACACUUUGUAUUUGAGUCUCUCCCACACCUUGCCCUAAGCAGCUUUUUCAUUAGGCUAGUUCUGAGUUUGUCCUUUAUAUGAAAAUUGUAAUCGUGAAUAAAGUGCGUCCUUGAGUUCUGUGAGUUCUAUUAAAUUAUGGAAACUGAAGGAGCCACAGAAACCCCCAAAUUUAAAGCAGAUCAUUCGAAGUGUGGCUGGCCUGGGGACCCCACUUGCAUCUGGUUUCUAAGAUCAGGGCAGUUUGGUGGAGGACUGAGCUCUUAACCUGUGCAGUCUGGUGCUAAUUCCAAAUAGUUAAUGCCAGAAUUGAAUUGUAGUCAACCCAUUUGGGAUGGAAACAAUGGACUCUGACCAGCCAAGCCUAAUUAAUGACAUCAAAAUAGUGGAAUAAUAUGCUUAUCCCAGCUUGAAUCUUCUUUCCACCCUGAACCAAUCAAUGGUCACAUUUAUAAACAUGGUGACAUCUAUGGUAACCAUGUGAAUUUAGAGGGGGAAGGCAGUUCCUAAAAAAGACAUGUUUGGCAGACAGUUUCCUGGCACUCUACUCCCACUGCUCAAAGCUUCCAUGACUGACCAAGUAUGUCCUGCAUUUCAUUCUUAAACCUAGUCAGAUCUACAGAUGGCUCCCCAAGCUAUAAAUUCAUACUGUCAUUCCACAUCGAAAGUACAUUCAAUGCUGAACCUCUAAAAUGAAAAAAAAAAAAUACUUUUCAGCAGCUAAAACAUCCUAUAUUAAAAUUGAGAGUUUAUAAAUAGUAACCAGAUCUUAUAAACAAUUGGCUGUGGAUUCCAUGUGUCUAGAGAAUUAUUCAGUGUUUUUUCUCAAGUAUGUAUUUUCUUUGGCAAAAUAGAUAAGUAGUCUCCUAAACACAACCCUGAAAAUAAAUGUAAGGUCUAUUCUGGUAUUACAUAUGCAAAAGAGGAGUAGUUUCCCAUGUGGUAUUGUGGUGAGCUAUAAUAUGCUUGCAAAGAACUAAAGCCUUGUAGAGCUAAAAGAAUAAGGAUGAACAUGAUCUAUGUUCACUAGCAAGGCACACACAGUGAGAGAAUGCUUUUGCCCUGCUCGACUACUUUCUGCCUGCAGAAAUCUUCCCUCCCACCCUAUGAAUGUGUUCUGUAUCUCCUAGCACCCCAGUGCAGUACUUCAUAAAUUAGAUCUUAGCUGUCUGUUUUGCAGUUGCCUGAAAAUUCAUUUGUUUCCCCCAGAAUAGGAAUUGAGAACGCGGUCUUCUAUUCUGUUUCGACCACAGUACCUAGAACAUAGCGGCAGCACAAUACAUAUCAGUUAUAUUUGCACUGUUUGAUGGUCUCUGGCAAUGACCUAAAUUCCUGAGUGUUGGUUUACAUGUGGGUAAAAAUGAAAGUAAUUAUAAUCCUUACUUCACUAAGUUGUUAUGAGGACUAAAAGCCCAUAAAUGCUACUGUUGUUGCUGUUGAUAACCAUGGCCCAGUCAGUAAUCAUUAUUCACUGAUUAGAAGCCAUCAGGCCCAAAGCAAGCUAUUAAUAGGUGGAGAAAUCACAAGAGACUAUUUCACAAGAGGUCCGAGUGACUGUUCUCAAAAUAAACAGCAAAUGAAAUCUCACUAUUCAGACAGACAUCCCCUUUUCUGGAAUCUCCAUAAUCAUUACACCCUAGAUAUUUUUAGAGUUUUUAAAAUACAGGUUGACCUACUUAUACAUUCAUAUUUUCUACUUAUUCAUUUGUUUGUAACAAGUCAUUAACAUAACUUAUUAGAAGUCAAAUAAUAUAGUUUUAGUUUGCUUUAUGCUACAUGUUUAGAAACUUUAUUGUACUUUAUAAUACUGCAAUAAAGAAAAAAAACCUCUGGGGCUUUUUCUCUUUAUUUCAUUAAACCUCUCUGCUCCAGAGUACUUGACAUUUGUCAUUUAUUUUUUAAACAAUCCAGCUCUGCUCACAUCUAAUUCCUAUCCUCUUUCCUGAGUUGUUAGUCAAUAAAAUACACAUAUUAUUGGAAGCAAUUUGUAAUAUAUAUAUAUAUAUAAAUUAUGUCAUUAGAAAUCAUUCUCAUGCUUAGAUUCUUUAUGAAAAUCAAAAUCAGGGGCACCUGGGUGGCUCAGUGGUUCAAUGUCUGCCUUCAGCUCAAGUCCUAAUCUUGGGGUCCUGGGAUCGAGUCCUACAUCGGGUUCCCCAUGGGGAGCCUGCUUCUCCCUCUGCCUAUGUCUCUGC
rnacentral:lncRNA from 1 species